AACGAACGCUGGCGGCGUGCCUAACACAUGCAAGUCGAACGGAUUGAAGGGGCUUGCUCCUUCAGUUAGUGGCGCACGGGUGAGUAACGCGUAGAUAAUCUGCCUGAUGAUCUGGGAUAACAGUUCGAAAGGACUGCUAAUACCGGAUAAGCCCACGUGGUCUUUGGACCGUGCGGGAAAAGGGGGGGCCCUUCGGGCCUUCUGCCAUCAGAUGAGUCUGCGUACCAUUAGCUAGUUGGUAGGGUAAUGGCCUACCAAGGCUACGAUGGUUAGCUGGUUUGAGAGAAGGAUAAGCCACACGGGAACUGAGACACGGUCCAGACGCGUACGGGAGGCAGCAGUGGGGAAUUUUGCGCAAUGGGGGAAAGCCGGACGCAGCAACGCCGCGUGAGUGAUGAAGGCUUUCGGGUCGUAAAGCUCUGUCGAGGGGAAAGAAGUGUAUUGUGGUUAAUACCCGCGAUACUUGACGGUACCCCUAAAGGAAGCACCGGCUAACUCCGUGCCAGCAGCCGCCGUAACAC
rnacentral:rRNA from 1 species